rnacentral:rRNA from 1 species
GACGAACGCUGGCGGCGUGCUUAACACAUGCAAGUCGAGCGGUAAGGUCCUUUCGGGGGUACACGAGCGGCGAACGGGUGAGUAACACGUGGGUGACCUGCCCUUAGCUCUGGGAUAAGCCUGGGAAACUGGGUCUAAUACCGGAUAUGACUCCAUGACGCAUGUUGUGGGGUGGAAAGCCUUGUGCGGCUAGGGAUGGGCCCGCGGCCUAUCAGCUUGUUGGUGGGGUGAUGGCCUACCAAGGCGACGACGGGUAGCCGGCCUGAGAGGGCGACCGGCCACACUGGGACUGAGACACGGCCCAGACUCCUACGGGAGGCAGCAGUGGGGAAUCUUGCGCAAUGGGCGAAAGCCUGACGCAGCGACGCCGCGUGGGGAUGACGGCCUC